rnacentral:lncRNA from 1 species
GAGGGAUUCUGCAGACCGUAGGGAGUCUGGACUAUGAAUGACAGCCACGCAGUAUGAAUAUAUGUGUGUGUACAUUACUCUUUGUGUCCGUGUGUGUGUGCUUGAGUGCGUCCGUGAGUCUGUGUGUCACAUUAAGGCAUCUGAUAAGAGUAGAAGAAAAACAUUUCCUUACACUGACGGUAUCAGAUUGCAAGCUGAUAAUGGUUCAGAAUGAAAACAAGUGAUGUUGUUUUUCAAGGUGAUAGAGCAAAGAAAAAGGCUAAGUUCAGACGCCGUGGAAGCUGUCAGAAAGUAACAAUGGUCACCAUCUCUGAACCGGACCCUGGACUCUCUGAGGAACCUGAGGACACGUCUUUGGACCGGGAGGAGACCAGGAAGAGAAGAUUUGGUAGGUGCCCCUUUAUAGAGAAUUCAAAAGAAAUAAUCCAGUCCAAAACAAUGAUCCAAAAAAGUAUGUUUUCCUCCAUAUACAUUUAAGAUUUAUGUUAAGAAAACUUUUUUUGCCAAAGUGACCGUGUGUGUGUGUGUGUGUGUGUGUGUGUGUGUGUGUGUGUGUGUGUGUGUGUGUGUGUGUGUGUGUGUGUGUGUGUGUGUGUGUGUGUGUGUGUCCUACUCCUGAACAGCUCUAUGUUUGCCCAUCACUCUCAUUGUGAGCCUCGGACUGCUGAUUAUCCUCACGAUCUCCCUGCGCCUCAGUUCAGUGAUGCCCACGGAGGAGGAGGAGGAGGCCCCCAGCAUCACAGAGUUCCACUCCUCUACCCACGUGUUGCCCGUGGGCCAAACGGCCCGCUACACCUGCCACGCCGGCGGCACGCCGGAGCCCACAGUAGAGUGGCUCCACAACGGCAGGCCCCUGGAGAGGGACGGCACAGACGACCAAUCAGAGGCCUGGGUGGAGAGGGGGUUCCUCUUCGUCAGAGGUACGGCGUGAACACGGUCUGCUGCAUGGCGAGCAACAGCGCUGGCACGGCCAAUCACAGCGCUGAGCUGCUUGUCUUUGGUAAGUCCUGGAUCCAAGGAGAGAUGUUUGUUGUUGAUGAAGCAAUAGUGUAACUAUCAUCACAUGACCCCCCCCCCCCCUCCCCACACACAUGUCAUGUUCAGGAGAACAGUACUAGUGAUGAAUGAGUGUAUUCAUAACACUGUUGUUGAUGUUUUUAGAACAUUAUUGUUGAUGUGUUCAUAACGUUAUUGUUGAGGUGUGUGUAUCUAUGUAUGUGUACAUAUGUAUAUGUAUGUAUGUAUGUGUUCAUAUCUAUGUAUAUGUACACAGAGCGCAGGAGAACAGUACUAGUGAUGAUGAUGAUGAAGAGGAUGAAGAGCGGUUCAGCAGCUCAUCAUGUCUGGUUCUCCCUCAGAUGCCUGUGACCUCACACUGGACCCCAACACGGCCCACAGACGACUCUCUCUGUCUGAGGACAACAGGAAGGUGACGAAGUUUGGAGAGGACCAGUCGUAUCCGGAUCACCAGAAAGAUUGACUCCUGGGCCCAGGUGUUGGGUAGAGAGGCUCUGACUGGCCGCUGUUACUGGGAGGUAGAGUGGGAAGGACAUGUUGAGAUAGGAGUGACAUACAGAGGAAUCACAAGGAGAGGAGUGGGUGGUGACAGCAGGCUUGGAUGGAACAACAAGUCCUGGGUUCUUUAUUGUUCUGAUGGUGGUUACUCUGCCCGGUACAACGGUACAGAGACAGCCCUCCCUCUCCGCCCCGCUGGCUCCACCAGAGUAGGAGUGUAUCUGGACCGGCCUGCUGGCUCUCUGUCCUUCUACAGAGUGUCCCCAGGUGGAGGAGGGUCCUCAGACACACUGACACACCUCCACACCUUCUGGUCCUCCUUCACCCAGGAGGACCUCCUCCCGGGGGUGGGGGUAUGGGGGGGGGUCCUCAGCGUCUCUGUGUCGGUUGUAGAUUUUUUUUUUUGGCCGAUUAGGGAGCAGGAGCCCCAGCAGGAGGGGGAGCCCCCCCAGUUCACGUCAUCACGUUCUGGGGGGGCAGCGUCUCUGUGAUCCCUCAGUUGUAGAAAAAUGGGGGGGGGUCAGCGGGGUGCCUCAUAUUCAGUGUCCGCCCCGGCAGACGCACACACACACACACACACACACACACACACACACACACACACACACACACACACACACACACACUGAGAGGACUGAUGACUGUCUCUGUGGCAGUUAUAGUCUCUCUCUCACAAAACACACACACACACACACAUACACACGUACACAAAAAACACACACACACGCGCACACACACAAAAACACACAUACACACAAAAACACGCACACGCAUGCAUGCGCGAGCGCGCAUGCACACACACACUGACUGAGAGGACUGAUGACUGUGGCAGUCAUAGUUAUAGUCUCUCUCUCUCUCUCUCUCUCUCUCUCUCUCUCUCUCUCUCUCUCUCUCUCUCUCUCUCUCUCUCUCUCUCUCUCUCUCUCUCUCUCUCUCUCUAUCUCCCAUAGUUAGAUAAGCACAUUUUUUAUGGUAAUUGGAUAUCAAAUACAUUGAUGGUAAAUCUUUUUAUAUUUUCAGACUUCACCAGUUUAAGUCUUAAUGUCUCUGAUAUGAUUUUUGUCAUAAUCCUGAUUUGCGACCAGAUUUAAAGCAGAUGUUAUUUUGUAUUCAUAAUAACCGAGAUGUCUAUGGGAUAAUGUUGCAUGUUGUAAAUGACUUUAAACUGAAUCUUGAUUUUUUGUGUUCUGUUGGGAACCAAGCGGCCGCAGAACAUGUUCAGUUAUUAAAGAUACGUGCUCACCUGUAGAUGAUUUGUAAAGUCUGCUGCUUCUAUUGUUUUAGUCCUCGUGUUUAUUGUGUUCAUGUAAGGGACUAUUUUUCUGUCUUAUUUGUUAAUGAAGCAUAAUUGUAAUAAACAACUCAGUGGAUCCAACUGAAUGUUCUCGCAGAUGAUUUCUCGUUUUAUUAGUGAAUAAUAAGUCCAUAAAAGCCUUAUGAAAAAUUAUAAAUGGAACAAAAAAUGUUUGUUCUAGACCGAUAUUAUUCUUGGACCUUCUCGCUGGGUUUUGGUUGGGGGGGGGGGCUCAGUCUCUCUGUGUCGGUUGUAGAAAGAAACCACAGACAGACGGCCGGAUACUCUCUCUCUCUCUCUCUCUCUCUCUCUCUCUCUCUCUCUCUCUCUCUCUCUCUCUCUCUCUCUCUCUCUCUCUCUCUCUCCCAGUCUCUAUUAUUUUGCAAUUGUUCAAUUAAAGGCUGUAGAUAAAACACAAUGAGAUAGACUACAUGUCUCGUAUGUGCCAUCACGCUCCCGUAACUAGCGUGGACAAGGCCGCCAAUCUCCCCACCGGCUUAACUGAAACUCUCCACAUGCCCAAACUCAUAAUGGUGUUCACCUCUUUUGAUGCUUGUAUCCUCCCCUUGGAAAAAACCUAACAGUAUCAAACUUCUUCACGAAAAUGUUUAGUUUUCUUUGCAUGAAAAAUUAUCAUUUAAAUCCACAAACAUCAUAUGUGUAACCCGGGGCAUAUAAAGACUGGGACCAGACAAUAAUUACUUUCUCUCCAUUGAAACCCAUUCAUAUUCUCCGAUCUCAUAGGUCCCAUGGGCUCUACCGGAAGGGGCGUGGCUUCGCCACUCUGUAGGUCCAUGACUAGCCCUAGGCUAACGUCUUGCCCAACACUUUACCCGGGAUAACGUCAAACUGUUGCCGUGUUAACGGGACUAAACACCAACCGCCGCAGUGUGGGCAGCUGGGGCUGGGGGAGGGCUGCGGGGGGACGGGGCGCGCCACCCCUCCUCGUCCCAGCCGCCGGCGUGGCCGUCGACGGGCCAGACGUCGGAGGGCGGCGGAGGACGGGGUCCCCGAACGGCGCUCCAACGGCCCCCUACGACGGAUCAGGUGGGGGCCCCGAAGGAGGUGGUCCCCGACCACACCCCCAGGGCUCCUGCUGACUCUGGGGUCUGGCAGACGAGGGCCUUCGCUAAGGAUUCUGGGGGUUCUCCUGUUCUAGGGGGCGGGACCGUUUCGGGGCCCUCCUGGGUCAUUUGUGGUUGGUAAACUAAUCAGGGUUCAUGGGUUGGGGUUUAUCGAUGUCGGGGUGUGUUGGUGACUCUUGUGUUCAUGUUGUGUUCAUUGCACCAUUACUGAAAGUGUUAGUGUGGUUGAAUGGUGGCGUGUGUUCUAGUGUGUACCGUGCUGGUGUUAUUAAAGGCAGCUCCGUUGUCCAGCGGUGUAUGGGGCGCGGAGCUGCGGCCGACUGCUAAACCUGGGCUCCCGUCUCGUCCUUCACCUGCUGCUCACCACAAUAUGAUUGUUGAAGUUAAACGGAUUGAAUUAUGGAACAUGAUUGUCUAGUGGGCUCAUGUUUAAAAGGAUUAUGGUG